AGUGAACGCUGGCGGUAGGCCUAACACUUGCAAGUCGAACGGCAGCACAGUAAGAGCUUGCUCUUACGGGUGGCGAGUGGCGGACGGGUGGGGAAUACAUCGGAAUCUACUUUUUCGUGGGGGAUAACGUAGGGAAACUUACGCUAAUACCGCAUACGACCUACGGGUGAAAGCAGGGGAUCUUCGGACCUUGCGCGAUUGAAUGAGCCGAUGUCGGAUUAGCUAGUUGGCGGGGUAAAGGCCCACCAAGGCGACGAUCCGUAGCUGGUCUGAGAGGAUGAUCAGCCACACUGGAACUGAGACACGGUCCAGACUCCUACGGGAGGCAGCAGUGGGGAAUAUUGGACAAUGGGCGCAAGCCUGAUCCAGCCAUACCGCGUGGGUGAAGAAGGCCUUCGGGUUGUAAAGCCCUUUUGUUGGGAAAGAAAAGCAGCAGGUUAAUACCCCGCUGUUCUGACGGUACCCAAAGAAUAAGCACCGGCUAACUUCGUG
rnacentral:rRNA from 1 species